UGGGGAAUUUUGCACAAUGGAGGAAACUCUGAUGCAGCGACGCCGCGUGAGUGAUGAAGAUCUUCGGAUUGUAAAACUCUGUCCUUAGUGAAGAUAAUGACAGUAACUAAGAAGCAAGCCCUGGCUAAAUACGUGCCAGCAGCCGCGGUAAUACGUAUGGGGCAAGCGUUGUCCGGAAUUAUUGGGCGUAAAGGGUACGUAGGCGGUUUAAUAAGUCCUAAUUAAAAGGCUAUGGCUCAACCAUAGUAUGGUUAGGAAACUGUUGAACUUGAGUAGAUGAGGGGAAAGUGGAAUUCCAUGUGUAGCGGUGAAAUGCGUGGAUAUAUGGAGGAACACCAAUGGCGAAGGCAACUUUCUGGAAUCAAACUGACGCUGAGGUACGAAGGCGUGGGGAGCAAACAGG
rnacentral:rRNA from 1 species